rnacentral:rRNA from 1 species
AGUGAACGCUGGCGGUAGGCCUAACACAUGCAAGUCGAACGGCAGCACAGUAAGAGCUUGCUCUUACGGGUGGCGAGUGGCGGACGGGUGAGGAAUACAUCGGAAUCUACUUUUUCGUGGGGGAUAACGUAGGGAAACUUCCGCUAAUACCGCAUACGACCUACGGGUGAAAGCAGGGGAUCUUCGGACCUUGCGCGAUUGAAUGAGCCGAUGUCGGAUUAGCUAGUUGGCGGGGUAAAGGCCCACCAAGGCGACGAUCCGUAGCUGGUCUGAGAGGAUGAUCAGCCACACUGGAACUGAGACACGGUCCAGACUCCUACGGGAGGCAGCAGUGGGGAAUAUUGGACAAUGGGCGAAAGCCUGAUCCAGCCAUACCGCGUGGGUGAAGAAGGCCUUCGGGUUGUAAAGCCCUUUUGUUGGGAAAGAAAAGAAGCAGGUUAAUACCCCGCUGUUCUGACGGUACCCAAAGAAUAAGCACCGGCUAACUUCGUG